AUGGAAACGUAUGGAAAGCAGAGAAGUACUGACCUAUCUCACCUAUGUGACCUGCUGGGAAAGUCAAUUUGUCUCAUCUUACCACAUCUAAAGACAGUAAAUAAGAAACUUGACCUUCUUUUUUCCGCCAUGUCCUUAACCAUAAAGCAUCCGAUUCAGACCUUUUCCUCACAAAAUGAAGAAGAGGAUGAUGUGUUCUCAUGCCUUACUGAAGGACUGAGCCAGUCUGAUGGGGAGGGAGAAGGGAAGGAGAAGGGACCAGAGUUGCAGGAUAAAAAAAGGGAUGUUGAUUUGGAGCCACCUUGGGAAAGAGGGAAUGAGGAAGGUUCAUAUUGCGACGAGAAUCUGUUUGGGAAGAACUAUAGACAAAGUACUGGGGACUCUCUGUAUAAGGAAUCAACUAAUAUAUCUCCAACUCAGCUUGGUCAAGAGCCAGAUUCCUUACAUCAGCAACAACAGCUCUUGCAAUUUAAUAAGUUAGUAUUUGAAGUUGUUGAUUCUCAGUUAAAUAGAGGUAGAUGGUGUUCUCAGAGAGCAGUAAAGAGGUCCUUGGGCCAGAUUCUGAGUAAACAUCCUAUGGAAAUUAAGAUCAAUACCAUGAACUGGCUUCAUAGGGAGUAUCAAUGUAAAGACCAUACCCUUCGUUUAUUAAUUACCUUUGAAGACCACUCAAUAAUUGAAGAGGUAUUGGCACACAAUGUGAGAUUAAAUCAUUGGGGUAUUUAUAUUAGGAGGGUCUUAUAUGACCGAGUGGUUCGUCCUCUGCUUACAGGUUUGAGACCAGCCCCCCAGAUAAAAACUAGCUUAAUUAUCACUCCUAGGUCUUCCAUCCCGACCUCUAGUUUAGCAUCAUUAGAAUCCUCUUCAGAGAUAUCAUAUAAAGCUCCAGUCACCCCUCAUCUGGCCCAUGUCCCUAUCCAGGAAAACUGUUGUAUUAAUUUUUAUACACCUUCUCUUUUUAGUUCCCCUUCAAACAUUUCAAUUGAUUCCCCCCUAUUCCCCUCCCAUGAAACCCCCCUUUUAGGAAUCUCUCAGGCUGGGUUAUCCCAUGAUCUUUUGGGCUUAAAGAGCUGA
rnacentral:lncRNA from 1 species